CUCACAAUCAGGUAUGAGCAGAAUCUCUCUAAGCUAAAUCAGUUUUAUAAACAAAGAGCAAAGAAACCUUGGGCUAAGGAUGGAGAUAGAAAUACCAGAUUUUUCCAUCAAUCUGUUCUUAAGAGAAGAAAAAGAACUACUGUUUCCAUUAAGGAUGAAAAUGAUGUUAUACAUUUUAAGCCAGGUCAAAUUGCUAACACUUUUGUGAACUAUUUCAGCAAUAUGGGCAGGCCUUUUCUUGCAACUCAGCCUCUAAUCCAAUCAGAUGAUUUCACUUAUUCCAUACCAGAUAAGCAGGAAAUCUUGCAGAUUCUCAAGGAUAUGAAGCUAAAUGCAUCACCUGGCCCUGAUGGUUUCAAUGUGGAGUUUUACCUUGCAACCUGGGAUUGGAUUGGGGAUGACGUUGCUGCCUUGGUUACCAUAUUCUUGAAGGAAAUAUGCCCUAGAGGCAAUAAUAAAGUUGUUAUUUAUAUUUCCUUAUAUCAUGAUAAAUCUUUAUUAUUCAUACUAGAAUUUAUUAACCGGAAACUUGGUACAUGUGUGAAUACAUAG
rnacentral:rRNA from 1 species